ACACCAAUUUUUAAAAACCCCCGACAGUUCUUCUCCGCGAUCGGAUUUAAGCAGACAUGUUUUUUUUUUUAUAGUUUCGUGUAGUGCUAUAAAUUAAAAAUCGAAUAUUUUUCUUUAGAGUCUCUAAUGCCAAUAAAUCAUAUCGAAAAUUCAAAAUAAAAAUAUUAUAUUUGCAAGAAGUGCAUUUUUGAACAGUAAAAUUUUUAAAUGAUAAAUAUUUGUAGCCGUUUUUUGAAAUGAGAAUAAACUGAAUAAAAAUGAUGUAACGCUAAAGCAGAGGAUUGAGGUGUGUUGAAAUGCGAAAGUGAUUUGUGUGUCCAUUAGGUUUUCUGAUGUUUUCAGUGUUUAUGUUUGGAUUGUUGUAUUUUUUAAAAAACAAACAAAAAUAGAAACAAACUAAAGCUUUCGAUACAAGGCGAAGGCACAUAAUGGCUAAAAAAUGCGCGAUUCGUUCGCUCAGUGAUAGUUCGUUGGCCGAAUUGGCAAAUGUUUUAGUAUCAACAAUUGGUUACUCUAUGCAUGUUGACCUCGAUCGUGACAUUAGCAUUACAAUGGUUGAAAUAAAUUCAUAUCUAGAGUUGGCCGGUGCCACCAGCAAUAUUUAUCAGGAUCUCUUGAGAGUAAUCCUUGGAUCUGAUUAUCUUGAAGCGUCAAUGAGAUUUACUUGCUUACAAAUGCUUCUCAAUUGUGGUGUUCAAUUUUUAGUGACUGAGGUGUUUCCAUUUUCGUACUAUGAGAAAAUUUUACAAGUAAUUGCUGCUCAAGGAACGGGGCUACGUACUUUGAACCUGAAAGGCAUAUGGGUCAAGGAGGAGCAUAUGCACUAUAUGUUCGAGAUCAUGAAGAAAUGUCCAUAUUUAACUAAACUAUAUAUUCCAUACAUUGCGAAUGAUGAACUAUUGGAAGUGAUUGGUCAGACUUGUUCUAAUCUUCAGUUGAUAGACAUUUCCGGUGAGACAGACAUCACAGAAAUUGGGGUUGAAUAUCUCUGUAAAGGAGUUUCGGGCCAUCAACUGACUGUAGUUGACGUUGGAAUGCCGGGCGAGGAAAACAUUUGCUACUCUGAUAUUGCUAUGAUUUUGGAACAUUGUCCAAAUAUACAAACAUUAGCAACGUAUUCCUAUGUUGGCCCUGCACUUAAAUUUAUAUACGAUAACAUCGACGAAGAUUUUAAGUGUAAACUCAAAUACUUGCACGAUACUGGAACGGAUGCUGAGACACUACGCGUGAUCGUGAAAACCUGCCCUAAACUGGAAUCGCUGUAUCUAGAUACACCAAAUAAAGGAAUACUGCAUAUACUGAAGAACACAUUUCUUCGGAAAAUCAAGGUAUACAAAUUCCAAUGCAAGGAGUUGAUGACUUCCUUAGACAUAAUCGGACGCAAUUUAAGCCAUUUAACAAUGAUCAAGGGAGAUGGUAAUCUGGAUAUUGGAAAAUUGACGCGGAUAUGUCCGAUGCUUAUCGAUCUAGAUUGUUAUAUGAUGGAUAUGAUGUCUUAUAGUUGUAGUCGAAAAUUUGAAAAGUUAGAAGGUUUAGAGAUGUUAAGCAGUCCUAUGAAUAGCAGUUCGUUGAAGAACUUUAUUUGCAAUUCGACGAGUUUAAAAAGACUGGCUGUGGAUACCGUUUCAUUUACGGACGAAGACAUUACGAGCAUUUUUGUAGAAAAUGAUUUUGUGGAACUAGAAGACGUUUGGUUUACCUUGGCGCCAAAUUUAACAAUAACAUCGAUUGAGAUAUUAAUGGAACGUUGCCCAGAACUUCAAAGUGUUGGCCAGUUGAGCGGUUGGUCUUUAACGCCAGAUGAUCUCGUCCUCGUUAGAGGAUUGCUGAAAAGUGGAAAUUCUUGCCUUGUACUUUCUCCUACAACUUUUUUCCCCUAACAUUAUACCUUAACAAGCGUUUUGAAAACUAAUAACGGAACUUAAUAAUUAUAUUACCUUAAUGUGUGUGCUUAAGUGUGCCUUCUUAAUGUUGACGACUCUCGUUAAAAGUAACCUUUACAUUUAAAGAAAUUGCAGUAAUUCUUUAACGUUCUUAAAGCUUUUGUGGAAAUUGAAGAUACCUGAGGGGGAGAGCAUGCAUACUCAUAAUGAUCAAGCAUAAAUUGUGAUCUUAAAGACAAUAAAUACCAUACAUUUUAUAUAAAAAAAAAUAAAGACCUUUUUGAAAUUA